CUUGGACUUGGGUCUCUAGCAACUGACCCGGUAAAAAAAUCCGAAAUGAAGGUGGUGUUUCGUACGAAGCACCGGAGCAAGGGAAACAACCAGACAUGGGAGAGGUAAUAGAAACCCUACCGGAGCUCCGGAGCUCGUUAGCAGCUCCGAUUGUAUUCGUUAUCGCCGUCGCUUUCGAAUUCUUCUCCAGGUGGCUAGAGCAGUUAAAGAGGGCCGUCGACUUUUGCGCAAGCUGUAAAACUUCGGAGGAUUGCAGCUGCUAAGGAGAAGGAACUUGCAAAUUGCACUAGUUUGCAACUCUAUCCUUCCAAUUAUAUUUUUAUACUGAUAGUAUAUAUAAUUACAUACCUGCAUUCUUGAAACACAUAUACGUAUCUAUAUGUCGUCGCAGAGGGUAUUUAUGUGCAACAUCCUUGGAUCGACGUUGCGUUUGUAUGGUAACACAUACACUUUACAGCUAUGAUGUUUUUAAGCGAAGGGUUGAAUGGCUAAUAAAGUUUAUGCAGUUGUUCAAUGCCAUAUUAUUUCCAUGUAUUUACAACAACCAUUUUUUACCAUUAAUUUAUUUUAUUUUCAAUCAUAAGAUUCUUGUGUGGUUAUUAUGAGUUGAUUGUACGUAAUGGGUACUUAGGUAGCCUGACCCCCCAGGAUGAAAGAUUCUAACAGUAGUACCUGCCUUCCAGAUCAAGAGUUACAUGGCAAGGAGAUAAAACUCUCAUACGACGUGUAGUCUGAGAAUUUUGUUCAUCUUAAAGGUCUUAACAUAUGUUGUGCUGGUUUGCUGGUUUUGGAGGGUUCCUGUUGCGUCCAUAUCGCAACAACUUGUGCAACCCUUUGGGAAGGUGAUAUCAUGGAGGGCUAGGGGAGUUGUAAACGAAAAUGUUAUGGUAGGAAUUAUUCCUUGGUUGAUAUUAUCUACCAGGGUUAGCAAGUUUGUACGUCGACUUGCGAAGUUCUAGAGGUUAGAUGAUUUCUGUCCUGUCAAGUUUUCAUACACAUGUUAACGUGGUUUUGUUUUGACUAUUGCUUCACGAUAUCUUUAGUCAUGAACUUAGGAUUGUUACCUGCUCAUUUAAUUUGUAUCAGUGAUGUGCAUUACUCUUUUGGUUGUCUGUGUAAAUUGAGUUUAUUGUUUAUCCUAAAAAACUAACCUCUUGAAAACCCAUUCCUCGAAGUUACUUAUUAAAAUCCAGCAAAAUAAUGUAAUGCUUUUUGUGUUUGGUAAUCAAAUGCCUAUGCGAUCACUGGCUACCAUGCCCAUGAUGGAAUUAAGAGUGGAUCCAAGAGAAAAUGAAGAAAUAUGAUACUUGGAGCUCAAGACUUCAAUGCGAACUCAAACUCACAAACGAGAAGAAAGCUAAGGCAAAGAAGAAAAGGACAUCCUAGCACACAAGUAGCGACGGCAAGUCCUGGCGAACGACCACUCAGUACCACAUAUGUGCCGGUAAUGAAUGCAACCACCAUUGCCAUUAAGGCGAACAAUGUAAAGGAUAAUGCAUUG